GAUGAACGCUGGCGGCGUGCCUAAUACAUGCAAGUCGAGCGAACAGAUGAGGAGCUUGCUCCUCUGACGUUAGCGGCGGACGGGUGAGUAACACGUGGAUAACCUACCUAUAAGACUGGGAUAACUUCGGGAAACCGGAGCUAAUACCGGAUAAUAUAUUGAACCGCAUGGUUCAAUAGUGAAAGACGGUUUUGCUGUAACUUAUAGAUGGAUCCACGCCGCAUUAGCUAGUUGGUAAGGUAACGGGUUACCAAGGCUAGGAUGCGUAGCCGACCUGAGAGGGUGAUCGGCCACACGGGAACUGAGACACGGACCAGACUCCUACGGGAGGCAGCAGUAGGGAAUCUUCCGCAAUGGGCGAAAGCCUGACGGAGCAACGCCGCGUGAGUGAUGAAGGUCUUCGGAUCGUAAAACUCUGUUAUGAGGGAAGAACAAAUGUGUAAGUAACUAUGCACGUCUUGACGGUACCUAAUCAGAAAGCCACGGCUAACUACGUG
rnacentral:rRNA from 1 species